rnacentral:misc_RNA from 1 species
AUGCCUGUUCGAGCGUCAUUACACCACUCAAGCUUGGCUUGGUAUUGGGCGACACGGCUCCCGUGCGCCUCGAUUUCGCCGGCUGGACGACCCAAUCCUCAGCGUUGCGGCAACAAAUUCGCCGGCGGAGAGGGGCGGCCACGCCGUUAAAACUUUCUAAGGUUGACCUCGGAUCAGGUAGGAAUACCCGCUGAACUUAA